rnacentral:rRNA from 1 species
GUCGAGAAUCUUUCACAAUGGGGGCAACCCUGAUGGAGCGACGCCGCGUGGAGGAUAAGGUCUUCGGAUUGUAAACUCCUGUCAUGCGUGAACAAGGUUGCUUGGUUAAUACCUGGGCAAAUUGAUGGUAACGCAAGAGGAAGAGACGGCUAACUCUGUGCCAGCAGCCGCGGUAAUACAGAGGUCUCAAGCGUUGUUCGGAAUCACUGGGCGUAAAGGGUGCGUAGGUGGCGUGGUAAGUCAGAUGUGAAAGCCCGGGGCUCAACCUCGGAACUGCGUCCGAUACUGCCAUGCUAGAGUACUGGAGAGGUGACUAGAAUUCUCGGUGUAGCAGUGAAAUGCGUAGAUAUCGAGAGGAAUACCAAAGGCGUAGGCAGGUCACUGGACAGUUACUGACACUGAGGCACGAAGGCCAGGGGAGCGAACGGGAUUAGAUACCCGGGUAGUCC